UUCUUCGGGGGUGGGUGUGAUUCCCUACCGGCGGUAAAGUCCGCGACCUGCUUUUAGGAUAAAGAUAGAAGUGGCUGAUAUGGUGCAAUUCCAUAACCGACAGUAAAGUCUGGAUGAGAGAAGAU
rnacentral:ncRNA from 1 species